rnacentral:tRNA from 30 species
UCCCCCUUAGUUCAGUCGGUAGAACGGCGGACUGUUAAUCCGUAUGUCGCUGGUUCAAGUCCAGCAGGGGGAGCCA